rnacentral:rRNA from 1 species
AUUGAACGCUGGCGGCAUGCCUUACACAUGCAAGUCGAACGGUAACGGGCCUUCGGGUGCCGACGAGUGGCGAACGGGUGAGUAAUGUAUCGGAACGUACCUUUCAGUGGGGGAUAACGUAGCGAAAGUUACGCUAAUACCGCAUAUUCUGUGAGCAGGAAAGCAGGGGAUCGCAAGACCUUGCGCUGAUUGAGCGGCCGAUAUCAGAUUAGCUAGUUGGUGAGGUAAAGGCUCACCAAGGCGACGAUCUGUAGCGGGUCUGAGAGGAUGAUCCGCCACACUGGAACUGAGACACGGUCCAGACUCCUACGGGAGGCAGCAGUGGGGAAUUUUGGACAAUGGGGGCAACCCUGAUCCAGCCAUGCCGCGUGAGUGAAGAAGGCCUUUGGGUUGUAAAGCUCUUUCGGCCGGGAAGAAAUCGUAUGGGUUAAUACCCUGUGCGGAUGACGGUACCGGCAUAAGAAGCACCGGCUAACUACGUG